CUCUCUACGACUACAAGUCUUGUGACGGGUUUGCUGUUGAAGUGGCGUCUCUUUUGCGGAAGCACAGGCCAGUUCGCAAAGGGCGCAUCCUUCGUUCUUCUUCUGGAGCAUCUUGUGGUCGUUCCCCUUACCACUUAGUCGAAUCCCCUCACCUCAGUUCGCCAUCCAGAUGGUCAUAUGGGGUCAAGAGUCGCGGUGCUUUUCUGUCCUCGCGAGAACAGCCAAGUGGCGCCGAGAAAAGGGCCAGAACGCUCUCGGCAGGCGACCAGCAACCGGGGAAAACACGAGCAGAGAAAACCAACAGAUUUCAACAAGUAAGGUGUUUUCUCUGCCACACACGGCGUGUGGGCAUCUCCUGCCCUACGAGCACCGUCCCCGUUGAUGUCUUUGCAGAAUAUUUCCGCGAACGGUUUGUAAGAAAUGUAGUUAUCGCUGGCGAGGUGCGAGAGGGGGAAGUAGACGAAGGCGACGAAAAAGGUGAUGCAGCUGGCGAAAGGGAAGAGAGGGGCAGGUGCAGGAGAAAGGAGGAGGAAACAGCAUGCGAAACAAGAAGAGGAGGAGACUUCCGCGGAGACACGGAGAUGAAGAGAAGAGGAAAGCCUCCAGAAGCGGGGGGGAGCGACCGAGACGAAAUAGCGGAAGAAGAACGAGAUGCCGGUUCAGCUUCUGAUACGAGUGAAAACAGCAGAUCGAAGAUCCGAAAGCAGAGAGCCAUCACGGAUACGAAUCCCAGUAGCGAACCAGAAGAACAAAAUGUCCUUAGAAAACGCAGGGAGACGGUGAGACUCACAGACAAAUUAGCUAGGUGUAGGAGACGCGAUGGGAGCCCACAGAACCUCAUAGCCAAAGCAGAAAUAGAGCUGGGACCGCCUCCGUGGUUCGACCUGGUUCUUCAUAAGCGCCCUCCUAUUCGGAUAGUGCCUCUAACUUCCGUCCUUCUCCCUCGAGGAGACAACGUAAGCACUUGCGUGCUUCAGCCCUGUUCUCAGACGAAGCUUUGCACCGCGCCGGAGAGCUGCUGCCGCCGGUCUCUAUCACGAAAAGGGAGUAAGGGUGGGGGUCCGAAGAACGAACCAGCACAAGGGGCGGCAGAAAGGCAGAGUGGUCAGCAAACCAGAAGAAGUAAGAGAGAAAAAAGUGAAGAGGAAUCUGGAUGGAGGAUAUCUCAACACGACAAGGAAGAACACAGGAGAGGAGCGGAAAUGAGGAGCCGCACAGUCUCUACUAACCAAAAUUCUACCCAAACGGAAGGAACGUUUCAGAAAAGAAGCCACUCUUAUCUUGGCAGAAUCGCACGGAGACACCGUGAAACAGCAGUAGAUGGUACUCAGCGCGUCGAUUCGUUCGUUCCAGGUGACAUACGGACAUGCAGUGCGUCCGUCGAAACUCAACUACAUAUGACUCGGGAUGGUGACCGCAAGAAAGUAGACGGCACUGCCGGCCGGAAUGUGUCUUCUGAUCUCGGCCAGUUCCUUCACGCAAAUGAGUUGACGCUGCCCCAAAUCGACAAGACACUUUUGUCAAUGUUGCCAUGCACAUUGAAAGAGCUUCUGGACUCACAGUGGAAAAGAGUUACGCGUGUCUCUGUCAGCGUGGCGGGCACAGAGGGAUACAGGAAAGAAGAGGAUUGCUCUAACAAUGACGUCAAUCAUCGCAGCACAUCGAUGGAACACAUAGCUCAACACUCUGUGUUGGCUCGGGUCUUUGACAAGGAUGAAGAUGAAACUUCAGAAUUUUGGUUGUUUCGCGAAGAGGAGAGCUGUUUGGAGAACAGGCAUGACACCGAACACAGUAGUCAAGUGACGAGACAUGUGAAAACGUCUUUUGAUGAAAGUAGGGGCCUGUUGCAGUUCUCGCAUAUUGAUCAGAACUGUGCAGAUACCACAGGAGUGGUCUCUUCGUUUCUGGGGACGAAGGAAGACUUUGGAGGGUCACCCCGGGAUUUGUCCACCAGUUCUGUUCAAAUUGGACAGCCAAACAGGCUACAGGGAUCUGACAGCGGCAUGCCGCCAACGACAUGGAGAAGUGCUAGCUGGUUGUCUGAGGCACUGAAAAUGGCGGAAGUAUGGGAACUCCGACUGUGUGAGGAUAAGCGGUGAAAGGGGGGGGGGACAAAGUUACAGUGUUAAGUACGGAAGAAAGCCUGUAACAAAUUCAUCUCACUGCAGGAAGAGAUCGAGUGAAAUCAGUGAAUUCCAUCGUGGUAACGAACUGAUUUCCUCCAUUAAACUCGAUGCUGUCUUCGAAAAAUGCCGUGUGACCUCAUGGGCCACGUUGUGUUUUUUCUCUGCCUCGGAGAUUCGCAGGGUGGCAGAAACUGCGGUAGAGUUUUAUCGCUGCAUCAGUGAUCUAUCUGUGUUUCAGCAUUAUCCGCUCCCUGCUGUUUUUGCGUAAACAGUCGGAGCUGCUCUGAAUCAUAGCCGUCGUUGUAGGUGGUCGACUGCUCAGCACUGCCGUCCACUAUUAAGCUUAUAACCAAGAACUGGGCAUCAUAAAAAGUGAACGAUUCGAGACACGCCAGAAAAUGGGGGAGACGAGAUUUCGAGGAGGAAAAGAGUGCGAAGCAGCGCUCAGAAGGACAGCACAGUCUGUGUCCUUUCUCUUCUCUCUUCGCUUCUGUAGAAGAAAUCUCUACGCAGGCCUCGAGGCGUCUGCAGGCGCGGAGGCAAACGCCGGCAGAUAACCAAGGCGAGACAGCAUCGGGCGAAGACAUGCGUGUCCAGAAGACAGAAGGGCAAUUUUCGGAAGUCGCUUUUGCGGAGAAAGGGAAUUUGCUGAUUCUGGCUGCCGAUG
rnacentral:lncRNA from 1 species